rnacentral:rRNA from 1 species
CCUACGGGAGGCAGCAGUGGGGAAUAUUGGACAAUGGGCGAAAGCCUGAUCCAGCAAUGCCGCGUGAGUGAUGAAGGCCUUAGGGUUGUAAAGCUCUUUUACCAGGGAUGAUAAUGACAGUACCUGGAGAAUAAGCUCCGGCUAACUCCGUGCCAGCAGCCGCGGUAAUACGGAGGGAGCUAGCGUUGUUCGGAAUUACUGGGCGUAAAGCGUACGUAGGCGGUUAUUCAAGUCAGAGGUGAAAGCCUGGAGCUCAACUCCAGAACUGCCUUUGAAACUAGAUAGCUAGAAUCUUGGAGAGGUGAGUGGAAUUCCGAGUGUAGAGGUGAAAUUCGUAGAUAUUCGGAAGAACACCAGUGGCGAAGGCGACUCACUGGACAAGUAUUGACGCUGAGGUACGAAAGCGUGGGGAGCAAACAGGAUUAGAUACCCUGGUAGUCCACGCCGUAAACGAUGAUAACUAGCUGUUCGGGCUCUACGAGCUUGAGUGGCGCAGCUAACGCAUUAAGUUAUCCGCCUGGGGAGUACGGUCGCAAGAUUAAAACUUAAAUGAAAUUGACGG